GACGAACGCUGGCGGCGCGCUUAACACAUGCAAGUCGAACGGAAAGGCCUGCUUUCCCUUGUGGAUUGCGGGUACUCGAGUGGCGAACGGGUGAGUAACACGUGAGUGAUCUGCCCCCAACUUGGGUAUAAGCCUGGGAAACUGGGUCUAAUUCCCGAUAGGACUGCAGGGUGGUGCCUGUGGUGGAAAACGAUUUUCUAGUGGUUGGGGAUGAGCUCGCGGCCUAUCAGCUUGUUGGUGGGAUAAUGGCCUACCAAGGCGGCGACGGGUAGCCGGCCUGAGAGGGUGGACGGCCACAUUGGGACUGAGAUACGGCCCAGACUCCUACGGGAGGCAGCAGUGGGGAAUAUUGCACAAUGGGCGGAAGCCUGAUGCAGCGACGCCGCGUGGGGGAUGACGGCCUUCGGGUUGUAAACUCCUUUCGACCGCGAGGAAGCCACCUGGUUGGAGGGGUGGUGACGGUAGUGGUAGAAGAAGCACCGGCUAACUACGUG
rnacentral:rRNA from 1 species